rnacentral:rRNA from 1 species
CCUACGGGAGGCAGCAGUGGGGAAUAUUGCACCAUGGGGGAAACCCUGAUGCAGCGACGCCGCGUGAGUGAAGAAGUAUUUCGGUAUGUAAAGCUCUAUCAGCAGGGAAGAAAAUGACGGUACCUGAUUAAGAAGCCCCGGCUAACUACGUGCCACCAGCCGCGGUGAUACGUAGGGGGCAAGCGUUAUCCGGAUUUACUGGGUGUAAAGGGAGCGUAGACGGCAGCACAAGUCUGGAGGUAAAUGCCGGGGCUUAACCCCGGAACUGCUUUGGAAACUGUGCAGCUAGAGUGCAGGAGAGGUAAGUGGAAGUCCUAGUGUAGCGGUGAAAUGCGGAGAUAUUAGGAGGAACACCAGUGGCGAAGGCGGCUUACUGGACUGUAACUGACGUUGAGGCUCGAAAGCGUGGGGAGCAAACAGGAUUAGAUACCCUAGUAGUC